rnacentral:rRNA from 1 species
AUUGAACGCUGGCGGCAGGCCUAACACAUGCAAGUAGAGCGGAGCGGCGGACGGGUGAGUAAUGAAUAGGAAUCUGCCUGGCAGUGGGGGAUAACGUACGGAAACGGACGCUAAUAACGCAUACGAUCAACUGGGCCUGGGUGGGAUUAGCUAGUUGGUGGGGUAAAGGCCUACCAAGGCGACGAUCCGUAACUGGUCUGAGAGGAUGAUCAGUCACACUGGAACUGAGACACGGUCCAGACUCCUACGGGAGGCAGCAGUGGGGAAUAUUUGACAAUGGGCGAAAGUCUGACCCAGCCAUGCCGCGUGUGUGAAGAAGGUCUUCGGAUUGUAAAGCACUUUAAGUUGGGAGGCGUUACCAACAGAAUAAGCACCGGCUAACUUCGUGCCAGCCGCCGCGGUAAUAC